GGGCAGGAUAUGUGAAGUUAGCUAACCGGCGGUGCCGGUCAGCUAACUUCACGCCUGCUUAUUCGCAUGUGUGCUCAACGGAAUCUGUGGUCGAAAUGAAG
rfam:Janthinobacterium sp. HH01 Jab_1c, whole genome shotgun sequence.